UACGAAGGGGGCUAGCGUUGCUCGGAAUCACUGGGCGUAAAGCGCACGUAGGCGGAUCUUUAAGUCAGGGGUGAAAUCCUGGAGCUCAACUCCAGAACUGCCUUUGAUACUGGGGAUCUCGAGUCCGGAAGAGGUGAGUGGAACUCCGAGUGUAGAGGUGAAAUUCGUAGAUAUUCGGAAGAACACCAGUGGCGAAGGCGGCUCACUGGUCCGGUACUGACGCUGAGGUGCGAAAGCUAGGGGAGCAAACGGG
rnacentral:rRNA from 1 species